rnacentral:rRNA from 1 species
CAGUCGCCGCGGGAAUACGAAGGGGGCUAGCGUUGUUCGGAAUUACUGGGCGUAAAGGGCGCGUAGGCGGCCAUUCAAGUUAGAUGUGAAAGCCCUGGGCUCAACCUGGGAAUUGCAUUUGAUACUGUUUGGCUUGAGUUCGGGAGAGGUGAGUGGAAUUCCCAGUGUAGAGGUGAAAUUCGUAGAUAUUGGGAAGAGCACCAGUGGCGAAGGCGGCUCACUGGACCGACACUGACGCUGAGGCGCGAAAGCGUGGGGAGCAAACAGGAUUAGAUACCCCGGUAGUCCCUGUCUCUUAUAC